rnacentral:rRNA from 1 species
AACGAACGCUGGCGGCGUGGAUAAGACAUGCAAGUCGAACGGGACAAGUAGCAAUAUUUGUCUAGUGGCGAGCGGGUGCGUAACACGUGGGCAACAUGCCUGGAAGAGCGGGAUAGCCCGGGGAAACUCGGAUUAAUACCGCAUGUGACAACGGGGCGGAUUCGCCCUGUUUUCAAAGGUGGGGACCGCAAGGCCUGCCGCUUCCAGAUUGGCCCGCGUCCUAUCAGCUAGUUGGCGGGGUAACGGCCCACCAAGGCGACGACGGGUAGCUGGUCUGAGAGGACGACCAGCCACACUGGAACUGAGACACGGUCCAGACACCUACGGGUGGCAGCAGUCGAGAAUCUUUCACAAUGGGGGAAACCCUGAUGGAGCGACGCCGCGUGGAGGAUGACGGUCUUCGGAUUGUAAACUCCUGUCAUGAAAGAACAAGCGGAGCGGGUGAACAGCCCGCCGAGUUGAUAGUAUUUCAAGAGGAAGGGACGGCUAACUUCGUGCCAGCAGCCGCCGCCGUAA